UACGUAGGCAGCGAGCGUUGUUCGGAGUUACUGGGCGUAAAGGGUGUGUAGGCGGUUCUUUAAGUUUGGUGUGAAAUCUCCCGGCUCAACCGGGAGGGUGCGCCGAAAACUGGAGGGCUAGAGUGCGGGAAGGGAGAGUAGAAUUCCUGGUGUAGCGGUGAAAUGCGUAGAUAUCAGGAAGAACACCCGUGGCGAAGGCGGCUCUCUGGGACGUGACUGACGCUGAGACGCGAAAGCGUGGGGAGCGAACAGG
rnacentral:rRNA from 1 species